CGUAACCGUGCGGGAGAGUCCCUGGGCAGCCGGCUCAGGGCGCCGAAGGAGCAACCUCCCCGGAACCUCUCAGGCCACAGGACCGUGCGGUAGGG
rnacentral:ncRNA from 1 species